UACGAAGGGGGCUAGCGUUGCUCGGAAUCACUGGGCGUAAAGCGUGCGUAGGCGGUUUGUUAAGUCCGUUGUGAAAGCCCUGGGCUCAACCUGGGAAUUGCAGUGGAUACUGGCGAGCUAGAGUGCGGUAGAGGAUGGUGGAAUUCCCGGUGUAGCGGUGAAAUGCGUAGAGAUCGGGAGGAACACCCGUGGCGAAGGCGGCCAUCUGGACCAGCACUGACGCUGAGGCACGAAAGCGUGGGGAGCAAACAGG
rnacentral:rRNA from 1 species